CCACUCUCUGGGCCUGGCCAGCCCAGAGAGUUUUUCACCCAGCAAUGGCUACACCCGUCCAAGCCAUGAGCAGCCAGUUUCUCCAGGAGAAUGCUGUGGGAUGUGGUGUCAAAUGCUUUACCAAAGUCUAGUAAAGACAGUGUCUGACUCUGAUGAUGGCCUGGAUUUUGCAUUGCCUGCAAGUUCUCUGUGUUGAAGCUUCUCUUUCUCCCUGUGAGCUCAGAGCAUGCCCUAUAACCUGCAGUGUGUUUCCAAGGCUGGAGUGAAGGUAACAGAUUUAGCAGAAGUAAAGAUGCAAGGAGCAGCAUGGAAAGCAGGCAGUAACAACAGCCUCAGAGAGACAUAUGAAGAGUGAAGCUCAGACACACAGACAGAAAUGUGGGGAAAUGCCCCACAUUGGGCAUUGGG